rnacentral:rRNA from 1 species
AUUGAACGCUGGCGGCAGGCCUAACACAUGCAAGUCGAGCGGAUGAAGGGAGCUUGCUCCUGGAUUCAGCGGCGGACGGGUGAGUAAUGCCUAGGAAUCUGCCUGGUAGUGGGGGAUAACGUCCGGAAACGGGCGCUAAUACCGCAUACGUCCUGAGGGAGAAGGUGGGGGAUCUUCGGACCUCACGCUAUCAGAUGAGCCUAGGUCGGAUUAGCUAGUUGGUGGGGUAAAGGCCUACCAAGGCGGCGAUCCGUAACUGGUCUGAGAGGAUGAUCAGUCACACUGGAACUGAGACACGGUCCAGACUCCUACGGGAGGCAGCAGUGGGGAAUAGUGGACAAUGGGCGAAAGCCUGAUCCAGCCAUGCCGCGUGUGUGAAGAAGGUCUUCGGAUUGUAAAGCACUUUAAGUUGGGAGGAAGGGCAGUAAGUUAAUACCUUGCUGUUUUGACGUUACCAACAGAAUAAGCACCGGCUAACUUCGUG